GACGAACGCUGGCGGCGUGCUUAACACAUGCAAGUCGAACGCUGAAGACCUGGCUUUUGUUGGGUUGGAUGAGUGGCGAACGGGUGAGUAACACGUGAGUAACCUGCCCUCUUCUUUGGGAUAACGCCCGGAAACGGGUGCUAAUACUGGAUAUUCACUGCUCUUCGCAUGGGGGUUGGUGGAAAGGUUUGUUCUGGUGGGGGAUGGGCUCGCGGCCUAUCAGCUUGUUGGUGGGGUGAUGGCCUACCAAGGCUUUGACGGGUAGCCGGCCUGAGAGGGUGACCGGUCACAUUGGGACUGAGAUACGGCCCAGAGUCCUACGGGAGGCAGCAGUGGGGAAUAGUGCACAAUGGGCGAAAGCCUGAUGCAGCGACGCCGCGUGAGGGAUGGAGGCCUUCGGGUUGUAAACCUCUUUCGCUCAUGGUCAAGCCGCAACUGUGGGUUGUGGUGAGGGUAGUGGGUAAAGAAGCGCCGGCUAACUACGUG
rnacentral:rRNA from 1 species